AAACUCAAAGGAAUUGACGGGGGCCCGCACAAGCGGCGGAGCAUGUGGCUUAAUUCGAGGCGACGCGAAGAACCUUACCUGGGCUGAACUACGUAGGAAAAGCCGUAGAGAUACGGUGUCCGAAAGGGCCUGCGAUAGGUGGUGCAUGGCUGUCGUCAGCUCGUGUCGUGAGAUGUUGGGUUAAGUCCCGCAACGAGCGCAACCCUUGUCCUGUGUUGCCAGCGGGUAAUGCCGGGGACUCGCAGGAGACUGCCGGGGUCAACUCGGAGGAAGGUGGGGACGAAGUCAAGUCAUCAUGCCCCUUACGUCCAGGGCUGCACACAUGCUACAAUGGCCGGUACAAAGGGCUGCUAUUCCGCGAGGAGGAGCGAAUCCCAAAAAGCCGGUCUCAGUUCGGAUCGCAGUCUGCAACUCGACUGCGUGAAGUCGGAGUCGCUAGUAAUCCCGGAUCAGCAACGCCGGGGUGAAUACGUUCCCGGGCCUUGUACACACCGCCCGUCACACCACGAAAGUCGGCAACACCCGAAGCCGGUGGCCCAACCGCAAGGAGGGAGCCGUCGAAGGUGGGGUCGGUGAUUGGGGUGAAGUCGUAACAAGGUAGCCGUACCGGAAGGUGCGGCUGG
rnacentral:rRNA from 1 species